rnacentral:rRNA from 1 species
GAGUCUUAAUUGGGCGUUAAGUUGCAGGGUAUAGACCCGAAACCCGGUGAUCUAGCCAUGGGCAGGUUGAAGGUUGGGUAACACUAACUGGAGGACCGAACCGACUAAUGUUGAAAAAUUAGCGGAUGACCUGUGGCUGGGGGUGAAAGGCCAAUCAAACCGGGAGAUAGCUGGUUCUCCCCGAAAGCUAUUUAGGUAGCGCCUCGUGAAUUCAUCUCCGGGGGUAG